GAUGAAGAACGUAGCGAAAUGCGAUAAGUAGUGUGAAUUGCAGAAUUCAGUGAAUCAUCGAAUCUUUGAACGCACAUUGCGCCCUGUGGUAUUCCGCAGGGCAUGCCUGUUCGAGCGUCAUUUCAACCCUCAAGCCUCGCUUGGUGUUGGGCCCUGCCCGCCGCGGCCGGCCCUAAAGAUAGUGGCGGCGCCGCCUGGCCCUCAGCGUAGUACAGCUCUCGCUCCAGGGUCCGGCGGCAGCCUGCCAGAACCCCCCAACUCUGUGGUUGACCUCGGAUCAGGUAGGGAUACCCGCUGAACUUAAGCAUAUCAAUAAGCGGAGGA
rnacentral:misc_RNA from 1 species